GAGUUUGAUCCUGGCUCAGAACGAACGCUGGCGGCAGGCCUAACACAUGCAAGUCGAGCGCACCCUUCGGGGCGAGCGGCGGACGGGUUAGUAACGCGUGGGAACGUACCCUUUUCUACGGAAUAGCCUUUGGAAACGAAGAGUAAUACCGUAUACGCCCUUCGGGGGAAAGAUUUAUCGGAGAAGGAUCGGCCCGCGUUAGAUUAGAUAGUUGGUGGGGUAACGGCCUACCAAGUCUACGAUCUAUAGCUGGUUUUAGAGGAUGAUCAGCAACACUGGGACUGAGACACGGCCCAGACUCCUACGGGAGGCAGCAGUGGGGAAUCUUAGACAAUGGGCGCAAGCCUGAUCUAGCCAUGCCGCGUGAGUGAUGAAGGCCUUAGGGUCGUAAAGCUCUUUCGCCAGAGAUGAUAAUGACAGUAUCUGGUAAAGAAACCCCGGCUAACUCCGUGCCAGCAGCCGCGGUAAUA
rnacentral:rRNA from 1 species